rnacentral:lncRNA from 1 species
GGAAAUGCUGGAGCAGCCAGCGCCGCGCUGGGGAUGUGGCUUUGGGGAUGGAGGCUCGGGGAGAUGAGCCGCGAAGCUCAGCCAUCCCCAGGUCAUCCCUGCAGGACGCUGAGCUGCAUAUGGGGAGAAACAUCGAGCCCAAGGCGCCACAAACAUAUGGGAACCACAGCAGCAAACCAGGUCUGGGCACCAAUCAAUACUCCACAAGCAAUUUCCAGUGCUCGGCUUGCUCGUUA